GGCUUGUUGGUCUAGGGGUAUGAUUCUCACCUUGGGUGUGAGAAGUCCUGGGUUCAAAUUCUAGACAAGCCC